CCAACGGUCCAAAACAAGCUCAAGCGCCUUCUAGUUUUUGGUUUGGUUUUUUUUUUUUGUCUGUUUGGGAGAAGGUGGAGUUGGAUUUUGAGAAGUAACAUACUUGUCAUGAAGAUACCUCUCAGAUUAAGGUCCUGACCCCUAUUCCUCCCCCAGAUUCUUCAUGCUUGAUUUCCAUUUUGGGUAUGGGACAUCUGUGUCACUCUGAGGCUGCCUGCAAAGAAGAUAACUCUACAGCAGGGAAUCGAGGAUGAGGAAGGGGAGG